AUUGAACGCUGGCGGCAGGCCUAACACAUGCAAGUCGGACGAGUGGCGGACGGGUGAGUAAUGUCUGGGAAUCUGCCUGAUGGAGGGGGAUAACUACUGGAAACGGUAGCUAAUACCGCAUACCAUCAGAUGAACCCAUAUGGGAUUAGCUUGUUGGUGGGGUAACGGCUCACCAAGGCGACGAUACCUAGCUGGUCUGAGAGGAUGACCAGCCACACUGGGACUGAGACACGGUCCAGACUCCUACGGGAGGCAGAAGUGGGGAAUAUUGCACAAUGGGCGCAAGCCUGAUGCAGCCAUGCCGCGUGUAUGAAGAAGGCCUUCGGGUUGUAAAGUACUUUCAGCGGGGAGGCGUUACCGGCAGAAGAAGCACCGGAUAACUCCGUGCCAGCAGCCGCGGUAAUAC
rnacentral:rRNA from 1 species